UCAAUUGGUCCAAAACGAAUAAUUAGUCUCACACAGUCACACCUAAUGACACAUUCACUCACAUAUAUCUCGUCGAAUUGUGAAUCCCACCAAAGUGUGCCCUGCUUUUUCCUCGACUUUCCACUCACUUUCUUCAUAUAUCUCUCCUUUCUCUCAUUGUCUCUCUUACUUUCGUCUCAAUGGCUUCAGCUACUUCCGUCAUAGCCUGGGGCUCAGGAAAAGACGGGCAACUAGGACUUGGAACCGAUGAAAAAAAGGAAUUGGCUUGCGUCGUCGAGGCUCUUGAACCUUUCUCCAAAACUUAUAUUCUUUUGUUUAUAACUUAUUAUCUCUAAAACUAUUUCUUGUAUCAGAUCUCUCUCAGUUCUCUCUGGCCUCUUCUUUAUUUUAUUGUUCUUCAGUUUCUGUUUCAUAACUAUGGCUAACUGUUCAGUAUUUUGUCAUAACAAUUUAGAUUUUUUUUUUCUUUUUACUAUAAUCUAAAUUUGCAGAUAAAUGUCUUCAA